rnacentral:rRNA from 1 species
UGGGGAAUAUUGGACAAUGGGCGAAAGCCUGAUCCAGCCAUGCCGCGUGUGUGAAGAAGGUCUUCGGAUUGUAAAGCACUUUAAGAUGGGAGGAAGGGCAUUAACCUAAUACGUUAGUGUUUUGACGUUACCGACAGAAUAAGCACCGGCUAACUCUGUGCCAGCAGCCGCGGUAAUACAGAGGGUGCAAGCGUUAAUCGGAAUUACUGGGCGUAAAGCGCGCGUAGGUGGUUUGUUAAGUUGGAUGUGAAAUCCCCGGGCUCAACCUGGGAACUGCAUUCAAAACUGACUGACUAGAGUAUGGUAGAGGGUGGUGGAAUUUCCUGUGUAGCGGUGAAAUGCGUAGAUAUAGGAAGGAACACCAGUGGCGAAGGCGACCACCUGGACUAAUACUGACACUGAGGUGCGAAAGCGUGGGGAGCAAACA